AGAGUUGAUCCUGGCUAGGAUGAACGCUAGCUACAGGCUAACACAUGCAAGUCGAGGGGCAGCAUUGGAGUAGCAAUACUCAGAUGGCGACCGGCGCACGGGUGAGUAACACGUAUCCAACCUGCCGCUUACUCGGGGAUAGCCUUUCGAAAGAAAGAUUAAUACCCGAUGGUAUAAAGAGUUCGCAUGUUCUCUUUAUUAAAGAAUUUCGGUAAGCGAUGGGGAUGCGUUCCAUUAGAUAGUUGGCGGGGUAACGGCCCACCAAGUCUACGAUGGAUAGGGGUUCUGAGAGGAAGGUCCCCCCACAUUGGAACUGAGACACGGUCCAAACUCCUACGGGAGGCAGCAGUGAGGAAUAUUGGUCAAUGGACGAGAGUCUGAACCAGCCAAGUAGCGUGAAGGAUGACUGCCCUAUGGGUUGUAAACUUCUUUUGCAGGGGAAUAAAGUGCAUCACGUGUGAUGUUUUGUAUGUACUCUGCGAAUAAGGAUCGGCUAACUCCGUGCCAGCAGCUGC
rnacentral:rRNA from 1 species